AUUCAGCAUUAACUUGUUAAUUAAUUAGGAUUUGUGCACUAAAAUUUCGUUUAACUUGUGUUAUAUGCCCAUUUUUAACACAGGAAUUUGAAGAUUGGCUCAAGUUUCAUGCUUGUUCGGUAGGGUUGCGGCUACUUCUAUAGCUGUGCUGGUUAUGGAAAACUGGCUUCAAUGAAUCCAAAGAGCUUGAGCAAAAUUGAUAACUUGGGCAGGCAAUCUCUAUGAACAGCCACAUUCACUGGAGAUACAAAAGGAUUGAUGCUUUGUGCCUCUGCUCAAAUCGUAGCCCGUAGGUUGUUUCUUUCAUGCCACUCCAGAAACAUUCAAAUAAGUUCAGGUUCAAGGUUUCUAUUUACUAAAACUAACAGAGACUGUACUUCAUACUUGAAUUGAGAGAGGGAGGAAAUCUCCGAACAUCUGAAUCUCUUCCAUUCAUAUUAACACAUUAGGAAUUAUAGUUUUACAUCCACCAUACUACAGUACAUAGGCAAGG